AGGAAGAAAAGUGAUCUUCAGUCAGGAGACUUGGGUUCUGGGCUCUGUCUGAUGACUGGCUCUGUGAUGUGAGCCAGGAGGAAAAGCUGACCAGCAAGAAGAACGUCGGAGACAAAAGCAGAUGAAGGUUCUGAAGAAGGAGCUGCGCCACCUGCUGUCCCAGCCACUGUUUACGGAGAGCCAGAAAACCAAGUAUCCCACUCAGUCUGGCAAGCCGCCCCUGCUUGUGUCUGCCCCAAGUAAGAGCGAGUCUGCUUUGAGCUGUCUCUCCAAGCAGAAGAAGAAGAAGACAAAGAAGCCGAAGGAGCCACAGCCGGAACAGCCACAGCCAAGUACAAGUGCAAAUUAACUGGUCAAGUGUGUCAGUGACUGCACAUUGGUUUCUGUUCUCUGGCUAUUUGCAAAACCUCUCCCACCCUUGUGUUUCACUCCACCACCAACCCCAGGUAAAAAAGUCUCCCUCUCUUCCACUCACACCCAUAGCGGGAGAGACCUCAUGCAGAUUUGCAUUGUUUUGGAGUAAGAAUUCAAUGCAGCAGCUUAAUUUUUCUGUAUUGCAGUGUUUAUAGGCUUCUUGUGUGUUAAACUUGAUUUCAUAAAUUAAAAACAAUGGUCAGA
rnacentral:lncRNA from 1 species